UGUGCAGAUAAACUGAGGUGUCGCUGACACACUCUUGUCCCUUCUUUCUUAUAUGUCUUUCUUAUGAGAUAAG
rnacentral:lncRNA from 1 species